CUCACGCCAAAUUCUGACUCUACCAUCUGAAUGUCUCAACAGAAAUUGAGACUCAUCAGACCAGGCAACAUUCUUCCAGUCUUCAACUGUCCAAUUUUGGCACGCCGUGUAACAUCUUGGUACUGUGGCAGAUCGCCAGCAGGAAGAGCAACUCGUCUACUUCUGACAUCUUCAUCUUUAACCUGGCCGUCCUGGACACAUACUUCUGCCUCAUGGGGCCAAUAGAUAUCAUCAACAGGCUGGUACUGGACCACCAAGGCAUCUGGUACUUCCAACGCUUUGCUUAUGGGCUCAAAGACAGUGCACCGCUCUUCCUGGUGUGUAUCUGUCUGGACCGCUAUGUCGCCGUGGUCCACCCUGUGUUGUUUACAGGUAUCCGUGACAACAGGAUCCGCAUUGGUGUCUCUGUGUUCACAUGGGGCCUUAUCGUGGCCUACGCCCUCACCAAGAGCAUUCUGGGAGCCAUGUCUGUCAACGAGAUCUUCAGUGUGCUCAUCCUGUUCUCCUUUGCCCUAAUGAUCUACUGUAACCUCUCCAUCGCAUGGGUCCUACGCCGCUCUGUGGCUGGGAAGGAGGUGAUGCACCCGGUGAAGAAGAAAGCAUUCAAAAUGGUGCUGGUCAUCUUGGGUAUCAUCUUCUUCAACUACCUUCCCCCCGUUGCUCUUGUCCCGUUCUUCUCGUACUACACAUUUAUCCAGUUCCAAUGUCAG
ensembl:lncRNA